CAGAGCCGCUGAGCUGUACAACUUCUGAAGUUUGGAGCAUCCAGUAAAUGAUGAUCGAAUGUGUAAACAGCAUCAUCUUGAUGGGAUGCCAGGUUUUUAGCCCAUAGAGAGAAAUCUCAUGUGGCUUCAUAUGGCACUUUGGAACAACCACCAAAUUUUGUUGACAAAAUGGAUGCAAAGUAUCUCCCAAACUUCCAGAUCCAGGAUGACUUCACCAUUUUAUUUUUCAGCAAUAAUAAUAAUAAUGAUAUCAACAAAAACAACUAAAGUAACAGCAACAAUCAUUUAGGUAAGUGGGCUCAUUGCCUUUUACAACAUGCUUCUAUUCAUAUUUUUUACUUGAUUUUCACAAAUAUGAGAUAAAAGUAGAUUUUACUCACUUCAGUGAACAAUGGAGAGGAUGGAAGUUCUGAGAUAAGAAAGGACUUACACAGAUGAUUGGAACAAAUAAUAAAAGAUGCAAUGGGCCUGGGAUUUGGACCAAGGACCUUGGAUUUCUCAGCAUCAUAAUGCUUUUUUUUUUUUAACCCUCAAAACAGGCCUGCUAAUAAAGACACUUUAUACUGAGAGAGAUUCUUUGUACAAUAGCCACUUCGUUUUCAUUUUGUUUAAUCAUUACUUUAAAGACAAAAUGAAGUUGUAUUUGUCCCAUUUCACAAAUGGAGAAAGACAAGCCCCAAGGGAAUUUAAGAAUGUCCAUGUUUUUAUGGCCAGUUACCCAGUGAGAGAAGCACAUAGAAAAAUCCUAACCUACUGAUUAAUUUCUUAAGUUGUGUCUGCUAAAACAGAAGUGCUCAGGAGCCAGGGAGCACAGGCAGCCAUAAAUAUCAGGAUGCUCUUGGUGGACUAUUAAUAAUAAUUAUUGCUAUAGUUUUAGAAUUGUGCAUUUCUUUGGGUUUGAACUUAUGAUUUCUUCAAUAUAGUCAAAGAAAAAUAUAUGUCUAUAAUACUAGCAUUAUACACCUUUAAGGCUCUGAUAUGGAUUCAUAUUCAAAAUUCUAGGAGGUUCUCUGAUUUCAAUUAAGCAAAUACAUCUUAAUCAUUGCCCCAGUUUGUUCUCUAGUCCACAUCCCUUAGUAGAUAAAAAUGUAACUCUAAUACCAAUUAAUAAAUGACCACUUUUUCAGUCCAGGCUUCCCAAAUCCAGAGACAAAAAUACAGAUCGCCAAUGUUUUUUUUUUGUUUGUUUUCUUCUUUUUUUUUUUUUUGGUAACAAAAAAAUUCAACUUCAGGUAGUUUAAAAUGGGAUUCAGGCCUUUUUAGUUUCCCCUGGAUUUUGUUGUUUAGGGUAGGUUGGGCAGCAGGAAAAGAGUUUGGGAAAUAUAUCAAUGAGUCCUUCUCUCUAAGAACAAAAAGACAAAACAAAACAAACAAAAAAACAAACAAACAAAAACCGGAGAAACAAAAAGAAAAAAAAACCUCAGUGUUCUCUGAUUUUAAGGCCAGACAACAACCAAAAAGCUUUAUUGUUUCUUUGUGAAUCUUUCCAACUGCAGUGGAAAUCUCAAGAGGAGAUUUAGCUUAAACCAGUUAAGCCGUUGCAUCCAAUAUUUUACAGAGUCCAAGUCUGGACUCAAUGUCUGGACACGUGAACAUGUCUAGUUAGAGGUGUUUGGGUUAAUGCACAUUCUUCAUGUGGUUUGGAUCACUUCUGUGGCCAAACUCUACUCCUUGCCACUCCACAGUGGCAAGUCUUGAAAUUCACCAGACAGGUCAUAAAAUCCUCAGGACAAUUGAAGGAUAAAGAAUAUAAAAAUAAUUCAGAGUUAUACAUUCUGAUGAAUUGUAUUUUAUUACUUAUAAAUAUGUCAAAAUGAAAAAAAAAAUGUAUUGGUGGUCUCAUCACUGUUUUAGGCUACCUAAUUUGAAAUCAAAUAAAAAGAAGAAAGCCUAAAAAACAUAGUGAG
rnacentral:lncRNA from 1 species